UUAGCUUUCCUCCACGUUCUUUCUCGAAUUCCGUUUCCGUAUCGUGAAUACGUAGCGACUCGAGCUCGUCGUGCCUCUUCAUAGCUCAUUUGAUCUCUCGCGUUUCGCAUCUGCGAGUUUGAAAGAGAGAGAGAGAGAGAGAGAGAGAGAACCGUGAAGUUGGAAAUAGUCAUCACUCUAGCUGCAAUACUUCUUUCGAAUACAACGAAACCAAUGUGACUGAUUACGAACCUGUAAUCGCAGAAGCUUCUACACAGAGGUACGUGAUGUGUGCGUGAUACCUGUUACGAACAAAAAAGAGAUAGCAAAGGAAAGGGACUGGGGUGAUAAAACAGAGACACACGUAUGUACACAUAAAAACGUCACGAGUGAAAGCACGAGUAAAUUUAUAUCAGCACCAAUACGCCAAAUCGAAGAGUUUACACGAUUGGAAUGUCGUCACUUCGAACGAAGGAGGAAGGAAAGUAAUAAAGUAAAGGAGAAGAAGAGAGAAACGAGCCGAGCUCGACUGCACACCCCAAUCAGUCCCGUGUCCCAUGGUCAUGGUGCUGUGGUAUCAUCGGACGUAUGUAUCCGGCUGGUGGUGCGUGUGCGUGGGUGGGAAAGAGCGGCAGGGCGCCGGCACGCGGCUCGUGUUUCCUGCCUCUGCAAAAAUUGUCAUUGCGCGAGGGCUAACCCUGUACGCAGAAUGAGCCUGAGAGAGAGAUAGAUCGCAUCGUGCCGAUAGCAACCAGGGAGGAUGGACCUGCCUCGCCAAAAAUACCACCCCUUCUCUGCGAUUAUCUCCACCCUCUCCCUCUCGUCUCCUCUUUCCUUUCCUCUCCUCUACACUACUCGCUAUAUGUCUAUAUGUCCACGCGAGAGAAUGUGUCUAUACUCUUCUCAUCAAACUAAUACGAUCUGAAAUUCCUAUUAAUUAAUUCUUAAAUUCUAAUUUUCAUCUAUAAUACAGAUCAAAGUUAUUAUUUUGUAAAAGACAAGAUUUAAAUCAAAUAUCAAUAUUGAA